rnacentral:rRNA from 1 species
GUGCCAGCAGCCGCGGUAACACGUAGGGGGCAAGCGUUGUCCGGAUUUAUUGGGCGUAAAGAGCUCGUAGGCGGCUGAGUAAGUCGGAUGUCAAAUCUUCAGGCUCAACCUGGGGCUCCAUCCGAUACUGCUCUGGCUAGAGUCCGGUAGGGGAGCGUAGAAUUCCUGGUGUAGCGGUGAAAUGCGCAGAUAUCAGGAGGAACACCAGCGGCGAAGGCGGCGCUCUGGGCCGGAACUGACGCUGAGGAGCGAAAGCGUGGGUAGCAAACAGGAUUAGAUACCCUGGUAGUCCACGCCGUAAACGUUGGGCACUAGGUGUGGGGUCUAUUCAACGGACUCCGUGCCGUAGCUAACGCAUUAAGUGCCCCGCCUGGGGAGUACGGCCGCAAGGCUAAAACUCAAAGGAAUUGACGGGGGCCCGCACAAGCAGCGGAGCAUUGUUGCUUAAUUCGAGGCAACGCGAAGAACCUUACCUGGGUUUGACAUGUAGAGAGAAGCCGUAGAGAUACGGUGUCCUUCGGGGUUCUACACAGGUGGUGCAUGGUUGUCGUCAGCUCCGUGUCGUGAGAUGUUGGGUUAAGUCCCGCAACGAGCGCAACCCUUUGUCCUAUGUUGCCAGCACGUAAUGGUGGGGACUCGUAGGAGACUGCCGGGGUCAACUCGGAGGAAGGUGGGGAUGACGUCAAAUCAUCAUGCCCCUUAUAUCCAGGGCUGCAACAUGCUACAAUGCCGGUACAAGGGCUGCUAACCGAGGUGGAGCGAUCCAUAAGGCGGUCUCAGUCGAUGGAGUCUGCAACUCGACUCAUGGAGCUGGAGUGCUAGUAAUCCGGAUCAGCACGCGGGUGGAUACGU